rnacentral:rRNA from 1 species
UACGUAGGGUGCGAGCGUUGUCCGGAAUUAUUGGGCGUAAAGAGCUCGUAGGCGGUGUGUCACGUCGGCCGUGAAACCUGCAGCUUAACUGUGGCGUGCGGUCGAUACGGGCAUCACUGGAGUUCGGCAGGGGAGACUGGAAUUCCUGGUGUAGCGGUGAAAUGCGCAGAUAUCAGGAGGAACACCGGUGGCGAAGGCGGGUCUCUGGGCCGAUACUGACGCUGAGGAGCGAAAGCGUGGGAGCAACAGG